GGAAGACUGGAGUGCAGAAGAGGAGAGUGGAAUUCCACGUGUAGCGGUGAAAUGCGUAGAUAUGUGGAGGAACACCAGUGGCGAAGGCGACUCUCUGGUCUGUAACUGACGCUGAGGCGCGAAAGCGUGGGGAGCAAACAGGAUUAGAUACCCUGGUAGUCCACGCCGUAAACGAUGAGUGCUAAGUGUUAGGGGGUUUCCGCCCCUUAGUGCUGCAGCUAACGCAUUAAGCACUCCGCCUGGGGAGUACGACCGCAAGGUUGAAACUCAAAGGAAUUGACGGGGGCCCGCACA
rnacentral:rRNA from 1 species